UGGGGAAUUUUGGACAAUGGGCGCAAGCCUGAUCCAGCAAUGCCGCGUGCAGGAUGAAGGCCUUCGGGUUGUAAACUGCUUUUGUACGGAACGAAACGGCUCUGGUUAAUACCUGGGGCUAAUGACGGUACCGUAAGAAUAAGCACCGGCUAACUCUGUGCCAGCAGCCGCGGUAAUACGUAGGGUGCGAGCGUUAAUCGGAAUUACUGGGCGUAAAGCGUGCGCAGGCGGUUAUAUAAGACAGAUGUGAAAUCCCCGGGCUCAACCUGGGAACUGCAUUUGUGACUGUAUAGCUAGAGUACGGCAGAGGGGGAUGGAAUUCCGCGUGUAGCAGUGAAAUGCGUAGAUAUGCGGAGGAACACCGACGGCGAAGGCAAUCCCCUGGGCCUGUACUGACGCUCAUGCACGAAAGCGUGGGGAGCAAACA
rnacentral:rRNA from 1 species